UACGGAGGAUGCAAGCGUUAUCCGGAAUGAUUGGGCGUAAAGCGUCCGCAGGUGGCUGUGUAAGUCUGCUGUUAAAGAGUCUAGCUCAACUAGAUAAGAGCAGUGGAAACUACACGGCUAGAGUACGUUCGGGGCAGAGGGAAUUCCUGGUGUAGCGGUGAAAUGCGUAGAGAUCAGGAAGAACACCGGUGGCGAAGGCGCUCUGCUAGGCCGUAACUGACACUGAGAGACGAAAGCUAGGGGAGCGAAAAGG
rnacentral:rRNA from 1 species